rnacentral:lncRNA from 1 species
CUCUCCUCUGCUACUGCCCCCCGCGGCCCGGCAUCAGAGGACCUGGGAUCGCCCCGGGAGCACGCGAGGGUCAUAUCAGAAUUUGAAUUGCAGAAACAACUGGAGAUAAGAGGCAGGGCCCCAAAAAGAUCCUGUAGAAGGUCCCAAAACGGAACCGACCCACCCCUCAGGGAGCCAGGUAAGGACCCUGCUAAGCCAUCACCUUCUGUCAGCUUCUGAGAUU